AUCUGUAAUCUGGAAAACUGCAUCCUGAAAUAUGCUACGACAAUCUUUUCCUUCUGAAAGACUGAGAGUUCUGUUUAUUUGACAGCAACCCAGAAGCUAGCGAAUCAGAAUUGUCAACUGGAGAAUAAGAAUUUGAACUUUAAAUAUAGACUUCAUUCCUUCUUCCAGCAAGCUACUUGCUCUGAAAACUGACCUGCCUGGAAUAGUUCUUUAUUGCAAGGAAAUCCCAGUGAUUGCUCCCUCUUCUUUGUAAAUGGAUCGAGUUUAGACUCUGGGCAUGUACUAACUCCGGUGGCCUGUUUUAUAUGAGGAAACUCAAUCAACUGUCACCCUGUGACAAUAUUUUUCUCUGUGUGGUUGAUUGGUGGUUAUGGAUUCAGUAGCUGGAUGCUGAACUGAAACUCCCAUUGUGUGAAAACAAGAAAGGAGGACCACCAGAACCAGUCCUGAGGCCACUGAACAACUUUGAA